GAUGAACGCUGGCGGCGUGCCUAAUACAUGCAAGUCGAGCGAACAGACGAGGAGCUUGCUCCUCUGACGUUAGCGGCGGACGGGUGAGUAACACGUGGAUAACCUACCUAUAAGACUGGGAUAACUUCGGGAAACCGGAGCUAAUACCGGAUAAUAUAUUGAACCGCAUGGUUCAAUAGUGAAAGACGGUUUUGCUGUCACUUAUAGAUGGAUCCGCGCCGCAUUAGCUAGUUGGUAAGGUAACGGCUUACCAAGGCAACGAUGCGUAGCCGACCUGAGAGGGUGAUCGGCCACACUGGAACUGAGACACGGUCCAGACUCCUACGGGAGGCAGCAGUAGGGAAUCUUCCGCAAUGGGCGAAAGCCUGACGGAGCAACGCCGCGGGAGUGAUGAUGGUCUUCGGAUCGUAAAACUCUGUUAUUAGGGAAGAACAAAUGUGUAAGUAACUAUGCACGUCUUGACGGUACCUAAUCAGAAAGCCACGGCUAACUACGUG
rnacentral:rRNA from 1 species